UAUUUCUCCAAUUUUAAGCUCACAGUCACACUAAUUGUUGAAUUGUCAGAUAGAAACCAUUUAAAGCCAAUUUGACAAUAAAAGAAUAUUGUGAUUAUGGAAAACCCUAAAAAUACUUCUAAUCCCUUACGAGCAGGACUGAAUGAAACCGAAGAAGACAAUAAGCAUAUGAUUGCUAUAAAUGCGAUGAAGCGCGAAUAUUUGCAUCCUUCUGAGGAUGAGAAACUACUGAGUGAAAAUGAAGUACCUUUAAUUUUCGAUUUGCAAGACAACAACAUGGAGGAAUAGGUAUUUUGCAUACAACGAAAACUCAAGAAGCAAUUGCAUGCACUAUGCUAACAAUGGUGUAUGUUAUAUAAACAAGAAUAAAAUCUAAAAAUGAAAAA